GCCUGACCUCGGAUCAGACGUGAUUACCCGCUGAAUUUAAGCAUAUUUAUUAAGCGGAGGAAAAGAAACUAACAAGGAUUCCCCUAGUAACGGCGAGUGAACGGGGAAGAGCCCAACACCGAAUCCCUUGGCGCAAGUCAACGGGAAAUGUGGUGUUAAGGUAGCCCUUCGUGUCAGUCUAGGCGUCUCAAGUCCACCUGAUUGUGGCUCAAGCCCAGAGAGGGUGUAAGGCCCGUAGAGACGCUCCGACUGAUUCCUGGGGUUUACCUACGAGUCGGCUUGUUUGGGAAUGCAGGCCAAAGCGGGUGGUAAACUCCAUCCAAGGCUAAAUACUGGCACGAGUCCGAUAGCGGACAAGUACGUGAGGGAAAGUUGAAAAAGAACUUUGAAGAGAGAGUUCAAUAGUACGUGAAACCGCUUAGAGGCAAACGGAUGGUGCUCAUACUGGCCUGAGGAAUUCAACUGUGACGGUGGCUGGACGAGCUGGCGUUCCGAUCUCUCUUUUGGGACGGGCGUCGGUUUGGCUAUCAGCUCCGACAUGGUGGCACUUUCCUUGGUGCCUCCGCCACGACCGACGACACUGGCUACCCGCGGCUGGGGUAAGGUGACAAACUGCUUCGGCAAUUUGUGUUUAUAGACCCCGGCGUCGGACAUGUUUGGCCAGGACGUCGAGCUUGCGGCGCCCGCUCCUUGUGGGCUCGCAUGUUGGCUAGCUUGGCUGCGCCGAUGCUUGCACUGGACAACCAGUACAGGUGACGGUUGUGGUCUUGUCUCUAGUUGGCCUCUGCGAGUUUGGCGCCUAUAGUCUGUGGUGUACUUGUGGGUAGACUAUCCGACCCGUCUUGAAACACGGACCAAGGAGUCUAACAUGUGCGCGAGUCAUGGGGAUUCUACGAAAACCCAAAGGCGCAGUGAAAGUAAAGGCCUGCUUCUCGUAGGCUGAGGUGGGAUCUCGUGCAUCGCGAUUGGCGAGCGCAACCACCGCCCGUCCUAUCUGUCUCUGUCAGUGGGGCGGCGCAAGAGCGUACACGUUGGGACCCGAAAGAUGGUGAACUAUGCUUGCGCAGCUCGAAGUCAGUGGAAACACUGAUGGAGGAGCGCAGCGUUUCUGACGUGCAAAUCGAUCGUCAAACGUGAGUAUAGGCGAAGAGACUAAUCGAACCAUCUAGUAGCUGGUUCCCCUCCGAAGUUUCCCUCAGGAUAGCUGGCACUCGGAAACAGUUUUAUCCGGUAAAGCGAAUGAUUAGAGGCAUUGGGUCGAAACGACCUCGACCUAUUCUCAAACUUUAAAUGGUAAGAUGCUCGUCUCGCUUAAUUGGAGGCGGGCUUCACCUCUCUAUAAAACCGUGAAUGUGAGUGCCCAGUGGGCCAUUUUUGUAAGCAGAACUGGCGCUGUGGGAUGAACCAAACGCGCGGUUAAGGCGCCCAAUGCGGACGCUCAUGAGACACCACAAAAGGUGUUGGUCGAUACUGACAGCAGGACGGUGGCCAUGGAAGUCGGAACCCGCUAAGGAGUGUGUAACAACUCACCUGCCGAAUCAACCAGCCCUGAAAAUGGAUGGCGCUGGAGCGUCGGGCCUAUACCGUGCCGUUGGGGCGAAGCAGACAAAUAAUCUGUGUGGAUGUCCCAACGAGUAGGAGGGUCGCCGUGGUGAGCGCAGAAGGUGCGGCCGUGAGGCCGGCUGGAGCCGCCACGGGCGCAGAUCUUGGUGGUAGUAGCAAUUACUCAAGUGAGAACCUUGAGGACUGAAGUGGAGAAGGGUUCCAUGUGAACAGCAGUUGAACAUGGGUCAGGCGGUCCUAAGCGAUCGGGUAACUCCGUACCUAGACGAGGGUGACAACUAUCACUGAUAAUACUGUGAAGUGUUAUAGCCCUCCGGAGCGAAAGGGAAUCGUGUUAAUAUUCACGACCCUUACCGUGGAGAUCGCCCCUUUCGGGGGGCAAGUGCGGUAACGCAAACGAACACAGAGACGUCGGCUGGAGCCCCGGGAAGAGUUCUCUUUUCUUUGUAAGGAGCGUACCCCCUGGAAUCGGCUUGUCCGGAGAUAGGGGCGUGGCUUCCGUAAAGCAGCGCGGGUCUUGCGCUGUCCGGUGCACUCUAGUCGGCCCUUGAAAAUCUGUGGGAGACAGUGUGAUUUUCACGGUAGGCCGUACCCAUAUCCGCAGCAGGUCUCCAAGGUGAACAGCCUCUAGUCCUAGAACAAUGUAGGUAAGGGAAGUCGGCAAAAUGGAUCCGUAACUUCGGGAAAAGGAUUGGCUCUGAGGGCUGGGUCGGAUGGGCUGGCGUAAGAAGCUGUUCCGGUUUUGGUGAGGACUGGGCGAGGCUUUCGGGCUUUACUCGGACCAUGCCGAGACCAGGCAGUAGACGACGUCAGCUGUGCUUGUCGUGUUUCGGCGCGGCAGCUUCGUCCGGCAACAAACAGCCAACUCAGAACUGGCACGGACUAGGGGAAUCCGACUGUCUAAUUAAAACAAAGCAUUGCGAUGGCUGUUGCUCGGUGUUGACGCAAUGUGAUUUCUGCCCAGUGCUCUGAAUGUCAAAGUGAAGAAAUUCAAUCAAGCGCGGGUAAACGGCGGGAGUGACUACGACUCUCUUAGACGGGCCGCUUGAUGAUGGUGUGCUGGACUGAGAGACAAACCUGAGCGUGGCGUGGGCAGACCAGCCUGCUGUUACUUGGUGGACAUGCAGGUUAGGCCACUGCCACCUCGAGAUGGUGAAACUAUGCUAUGUUGAGGCAGAAGCUUGGCCGAAGCUUGGAUGACUGUUCAGUAAUGGCGGCUGGAUGCCGGGGGGCUCCAGUUCGAAAAAUGGCUCCACUACUGGGGAAACCUGGUAGAGGGUGAACAUUACUGAUCAGGAUUCCGGGCUAAAGCUUUGCUUCUAGUGCGGAUGAUUGUGAGGAUUGUUCUGCCUUCGGAUUGGGUGGCCCCCCGCACCCGGUUCGGUCUGGUGGUUCGAUUCUCACCGGAGGGAUCCUUGCUCCGUAGGUACGCCCUUGGAGUAGGGGGAACUUCGCUCGAAUUGAAACACGGAUCAGGAUCGGGCCUGCACGCGCUAUGGUCGGGUGCGGCUCGAACUCUAACAUACUUUCAUUUAGCUGGUCUCCGCUUAGGCGGGUCCGGGUUUCGAUUCGGAUGUUGAUGAUCGCAGGGUAAAGGCGCGAUGGCAGAGCUGGCUCGUCUUGGCGACGCCGGAGUGCUUAUCCCUGUCUGACAGUGUUGGUGCCUCCAAGUGGCGAGAGUCGGGC
rnacentral:rRNA from 1 species